AUGACGAUUGUUGAUAUGGAGAUUGAGAGCGCCGAUCAAGUUUCUCCUCUACCGUUUGCGAGAAGUUAUCAAGUGGAGGCGCUAGAGAAAGCAAUGAAGCGGAACACGAUUGUUUACUUGGAGACUGGCUCUGGCAAGACUCUUAUCGCCAUCAUGCUUCUCCGUAGCUACGCUUACCUUUUCCGCAAGCCUUCCCCUUGCUUCAGCGUCUUCUUGGUUCCUCAAGUUGUUCUCGUCAUUCAACAAGCUGAAGCGCUGAAGAGGCACACGGAUCUUAAGGUGGGCAUGUAUUGGGGAUCCAUUGGGGUUGACUCUUGGGAUGCUCCAACUUGGAAACAAGAAGUCGAUAAAUAUGAGGUUCUUGUGAUGACACCUGCUAUUUUGCUCAGUGCACUAAGACAUAGUCUUCUGACGUUGAACAUGAUCAAGGUUCUUAUAUUUGAUGAAUGUCAUCAUGCUCGGGGUAAUCACGCGUAUGCUUGUAUCUUGAAGGAGUUCUAUCACAAGGAGUUAAAGUCUGCAACUUCAUCCGUUCCUCGAAUAUUUGGGAUGACUGCAUCCCCUGUGAAAACAAAGGGUGAAAACUUGGAUAGCUACUGGAAAAAGAUUCAUGAACUCGAAUCUCUAAUGAAUUCAAAGGUCUAUACAUGUGAAAGUGAGUCUGUGCUGGCUCGGUUUAUACCCUUUUCUACUCCGAGUUUCAAGUUGUACCAGCACAUGGAAAUACCAAGCUCUACACGCGCAGGCAUAGUAGCGGAACUUGAAAAGCUAGCCAAAGAGCAUCUCUUAGCCCUUGCAACUCUGGAUCUCAAAUCCUCCACUGUUAAUACCAUAAAGAAGAGACUGUCAAAGAUAUGUUCAUCUAUAACUUAUUGUUUGGAUGAACUUGGAAUUUUGAUGGCGCUGAAGGCUGCUCAGUCAUUCUCAGUCAGUCAGAACGACUUUGUCUUGUGGGGUCAACAAGAGAAGUUUAGCGAAACCUCCAUAAAAAAGUUCUGUAGUAAUGCUUCACAGGCCAUUUUAGCUUACAUACCUGAUGGUCCUUACUGGAGUGUUGCUAACAUAGAAAGAAAUUUGGAGGCAGGUCUCAUUACAUCAAAAAUACUCUGCCUUGUUGUAUCUCUUCUUGGUUAUAGGUCCUUGGAGAAAAUACGGUGCAUCAUAUUUGUGGAACGGGUGAUAGCAGCUAUGGUUUUGGAAUCCUUUUUGAAUGAAAUUCUUCCAACCUAUAAUAGCUGGAAAACUAAGUACGUUGCAGGAAACAACUCUGGCCUGCAAAGUCAAACCCGGAAGAAGCAGAAUAAAACUGUGGAGGACUUCCGAAAAGGCUUGGUAAACAUCAUCGUCUCAACAUCUAUUCUAGAGGAAGGUCUAGAUGUUCAAAGUUGCAAUCUGGUUGUCGGAUUUGACCCUGCAUCCACCAUUUGCAGUUUCAUACAGUCUCAAGGGCGUGCUAGAAUGCCUAACUCAGAUUAUUUGAUGAUGGUGGAAAGUGGAGACAUGGGCACACGAUCUCGGUUAAAGAAAUAUAUUUCUGGUGCGAAAAGAAUGCGUGAAGAUUCUUUGAGCCAUUCUCUUGUUCCCUAUCAACCUCUUCCAGAUGAUUCAUCCGGGGAGGUCUACCGUGUCGACAGCACAGGGGCUAUUGUAACUUUUAGCUCAAGCGUCAGCUUAAUAUAUUUCUACUGCUCAAGGCUUCCUUCAGAUGAAUACUUCAAACCAACUCCUAGAUUCGAUAUAGACAAGGAUCAGGGGAUUUGCAUCCUUUACCUUCCUAAGAGCUGUCAAGUAAAAGAAGUUAAAUUUCAAGGAAAUGGAAACGUGUUAAAACAAGCUGUAUGUCUUAAAGCUUGCAUUAAGCUGCACCGAGCUGGUGCUCUAACUGAUCAUCUUGUCCCUGACAUGGUUUUGAAGGAAACUGUCCAAGAAAAACUCGGGAAAAUCCACUACGACACUGAACAGCCAAGUUACUUCCCUCCAGAGCUAGUCUCCCAGUUUUCAGCACUGCCGCAGACAACAUACCACUUCUACUCAAUAAGGAUGAAGUCAGAAUUUCCAGGAAAUCUUCAUUUUAAGGAUAUUUUACUGGGAACCAGGGUUAAGCUUGAAGAUGACAUUGGGAACACAUGCUUCCGGUUAGAAGAUCAUCUUGGCACAAUAGCUGUGACAUUAAGUUAUGUGGGAGCGUUUGACCUUGCACAAGAUGAGAUCCUUUUGUGUAGAAGGUUUCAGAUAACUCUCUUCAGAGUUCUAUUGGAUCAUAGUGUGGAAAAUUUGAUGGCGGCGUUGGAUGGGUUGCAUCUCAGAGACGGUGUCGCACUUGAUUAUCUACUAGUUCCAUCCACUCAUGAGCAAAAAGCAUCUCUUAUUGAUUGGGAGGUGAUAAGAUCCGUGAACUUUACUAGUCAUAAACCUUGGAAAAGGCAUGUGAAUUGUUCUGCCAAGGAUGCUUCUUGCAUUCUACGUACAAAAAACGGGUUGUUUUGCACCUGUGUCUUACAAAAUGCGUUGGUUUACACACCACAUAAUGGAUACGUCUACUGCACCAGAGGUAUUCUCAGCAAUUUAAACGCAAAUUCUGUAUUGACCAAGAGAAAUUCUGGCGAUGUGACCUACAUGGAGUACUAUGAGAAACGGCAUGAGAUUCGAUUAAAUUUUAUGGAUGAACCUCUUUUGAAUGGGAGACACAUUUUCACGAUGCAUAACAACCUUCACAUGACCAUGAAGAAAAAGGAGAAAGAGCAUGACAAGGAGUAUGUUGAACUACCUCCUGAACUAUGUCAUGUCAUAUUGGCUCCAAUAUCAGUAGAUAUGAUCUAUUCCUAUAAAUUCAUGCCAUCUGUCAUGCAACGCAUUGAAUCUUUGCUUAUAGCAUUCAACCUUAAGAAAAACAUCCCAAAAGUCAAUAUUCCAACCAUCAAGAUUCUGGAAGCUAUCACAACGAAGAAGUGCCAAGACCAGUUCCACUUGGAAUCACUAGAAACACUUGGCGACUCUUUUCUGAAAUAUGCUGUUUGUCAGCAUCUAUUCCAAGAAUAUCAUACUCAUCACGAGGGUCUUCUCAGCUCAAUAAAAGAUGGAAUGAUUUCGAAUGUCACGCUCUGCAAAUUUGGAUGUGACCAGAAACUUCAGGGAUUUAUACGAAAUGAGUGUUUUGAACCUAAAGGGUGGAUGGUUCCUGGCCAAUCAUCUGCAGCUUAUGGUCUUGUGAAUGAUCAUUUGUCCGAAUCUACAAACAUGUACAUUCCUAGGAUUGCUAGGAGGAAAAACAUGUACAUUGCUAGGAGGAAAAACAUGUACAUUGCUAGGAGGAGGAAUUUGAAACGCAAGAGUGUGGCAGAUGUUGUGGAAGCACUAAUUGGUGCAUAUCUUAGCGAGGGAGGUGAACUAGAAGCGCUAACGUUCAUGAACUGGGUUGGCAUAAAAGUCGAUUUCACAACUACGAUGAUCCAAAGAGAGCCAUUUAUACAAGCAGAGAAGCUUGUGAAUGUAAGCUAUAUGGAGUCUCUCUUGAACUAUAAGUUCAAGGAUAAGUCUCUUCUAGUCGAGGCAUUGACUCAUGGCUCAUACAUGAUUCCUGAAAUUCCAAGAUGCUAUCAGAGGUUGGAGUUCCUCGGCGACUCUGUGUUGGAUUAUCUCAUAACCAAGCAUUUGUACGGCGAGUAUCCUAAUCUUUCACCUGGACUACUAACCGACAUGCGCUCUGCUUCUGUGAACAAUGAAUGUUAUGCUCAAGUAGCGGUGAAAUCAAACCUGCACAAACACGUCCUCCAUGGCUCUCAUGAUCUCCACAAGCACAUCUCCAGAACAGUCAGUGAGUUUGAACGGUUGUCGUCUGUGCAAUCCAGUUUUGGAUGGGAAUCCGAAAUAGCUUUCCCAAAGGUUCUUGGAGAUGUGAUAGAGUCUUUAGCUGGUGCGAUACAUGUAGACUCGGGUUACAACAAGGAAGUAGUGUUUGCGAGUAUAAAACCGCUUUUGGGAUGUAUGAUAACUCCAGAUACUGUGAAGCUGCAUCCUGUGAGAGAGUUGACAGAACUUUGCCAGAAAGCUCAGUUCGAGUUGAGUAAAGCUAAAGGCUUCGAGAAUGGUGAAGCUUACUUCACGGUUGAGGUGGAAGCUAAGGAAAUGAGUUUUGCUCACACAGCAAAGGCCUCUGAUAAGAAGAUGGCUAAGAAGUUGGCUUACAAAGAAGUCUUGAAUUCACUUAAGAAGUCUUGACUCCUAAAUUUCUCAUUAUUGUGGAAUCGAAUAAAACUCUAUUAAAGAUCUUUCAGAUGAUUAAUAUUCUGUUUUGGUUUAUUUUGGAAAAAUUAACAUUUUUUGUUAAUUAUUGCAUUUAUGAUAUCAAUUUUUAUUUUUAA